rnacentral:tRNA from 1 species
AAAAAAUUAGUUAAAUUUAUAACAUUAAAUUGUCAAUUUAAAAUUAUUAUUCAAAUAAUAUUUUUUU